AUUCAAAUAUGUAAGAAAUAGCUUUUUACUCCUCUUCUCAUUUAAAAAUUUCCAAAGGGUAAAUAAACGGAAAAGGACAAAAAUACCUCUUGUGCCUAAUAAAUAGUAAAUUUUCUAUACUGAUAAACACUGCUAGAAGAAACUGGAGCUGGAAAUUUCAAAGAGGGAUGGAAAGUCAGGGUCCAGUUCUGGACAUUUCUUAGAAAGGCAGCCACGGCCGGAUGCGGUGGCUCAUGCCUGUAAUCACGCCACCGGCUCAUGCGGUGGCUCAAGCACUUUGGGAGGCUGAGGUGGGAGGAUCAUUUGAGGUCAGGAGUUCCAGACCAGCCUGGUCAACAUGAUGAACCCCCAUCUUUACUAAAAAUACAAAAAUUAGCCAGGUGUGGUGGUGCAUGCUU
rnacentral:lncRNA from 10 species